AUUGAACGCUGGCGGCAGGCCUAACACAUGCAAGUCGAACGAGUGGCGGACGGGUGAGUAAUGUCUGGGAAACUGCCCGAUGGAGGGGGGUAACUACUGGAAACGGUAGCUAAUACCGCAUACCAUCGGAUGUGCCCAGAGGGGAUUAGCUAGUAGGUGGGGUAACGGCUCACCUAGGCGACGAUCCCUAGCUGGUCUGAGAGGAUGACCGGCCACACUGGAACUGAGACACGGUCGAGACUCCUACGGGAGGCAGCAGUGGGGAAUAUUGCACAAUGGGCGCAAGCCUGAUGCAGCCAUGCCGCGUGUAUGAAGAAGGCCUUCGGGUUGUAAAGUACUUUCGGCGAGGAGGCGUUACUCGCAGAAGAAGCGCCGGCUAACUCCGUGCCAGCCGCCGCGGUAAUUC
rnacentral:rRNA from 1 species